CUGAAACAACCGCUGCAGGGCUGAUUUGUCUGAGGUGCAGCAGGGCCGCGGCGCUGGAAUCCGGCCCGGCCCAGUGCCGGCGUUGGCAGCAGCCUUCCCAUUAUAUCAGGAAGGGCCAUAUCGCAUCGCCGCCAUGCCCCGGCCCCCCCAGCUCGCCUCAGCUGUCUGCGGGACGUGGAGCCGGGCAGAGGGUGCCCUGGAAGAAGCAGAGCCGUUGGUCUGUGGUGCGGAAAGCUGACAAGUUUGGAUGCAACCGCUGCAGUGUGGCGGACAGGGAACUAAAGUGUCGGCAAAGACAAGUGAAUACAGGAUUCCUUUUCUGGAGAAAAAUAAAAUAAAAGAUGAGCAGGUUCCAUCAUUCUGUGGCACCGAGAUUGUGAAUGCAACAAGUAUUGAUGAACGAGGUGCUCGUGGAGCCAAACAGCAAAUCCACGUCAGUGAGAACAGAGCAACCUGAUGUAGAAACAAGAGUCGUCUCCUGAUCCACGAAUACACGCUUUUUUCAAGAGGAAAAGAAGCUGAGUUUUUAAUAUUGCGAGAAUGCUCAGCCCUUUUCAGCUGGGAGAUGUCAGAAGCAGCUGCAGACCUAAAUGAAAGGAGCUCAUCUCUGGAAAUUUGCUAUGCUAUAAUAAAUGCAGGCUUCUGCUGGUGAGCUGCUGAUGG
rnacentral:lncRNA from 1 species